rnacentral:tRNA from 1 species
UAGAUGGAUGCUUGUUGGUUAGAGCGUUUAGCUGUUAACUAAGAGUUUGUGGGAUCGAAGCCUGCCCAUCUAG